GAUCUAGUGGUUGAAAGUCUUAGCCUUCAGCCUCCCCAGCCUGUCAGCUGUUCCAGAAGCCUGUCAGCUGCCCCUUAGUUUUCUGCUGUGUCCUCAAAGAAGCACUGGGACCCUAAAAUAAACCUCUGGAGAGCCAGUUGCCCAACUCUUCCAGAAGAGAGACUAGACACGCAGCUGGGCAUGCGGCCAGAGCCCAAGAAAAGCCUGGUUUGCCAGGGGCAGAUUACAGUCAACGGGAGCAGUAAGUGCCUCUGCCCUCUCCCUCACGGGUCCUUCUCUUUUCUAGAGGGGAGUCCAGCACGUGCCAGCCCCAGGAGGUCUCACUCCCUUGCCAGCCUCCCGACUCAAUUCCCAGGACUGGGGCACUUGGCUUCCCAGAGUUGGUGGCUGCCAAAGUGACUCCGUGCAGCGGGAAGAUCCGUGACUCAGCGCCCGUGAUGUCAGUCCCUUCAUAGUCAGGGCACUGUCAUCCACACAUGCACCCGCGGGGGUGGGGGGAGGACCAGGCGAGGUGGACCCCCAAUGCAGAGGGAGAAGAGGGGCGCUGGUACAAAGGACUCCCCAGGCGGGUACAUCACCCCGCUGGGGCGCGCCCUCUCGGGCAGUCUCCCCUUAGAGUAACCUGGGACGCGGUUGUGUAAAGGCUCCUGGGGGCACUGGGAAGGAAGCUCGAGAGUCAGGUUUGCAAGGACACAGUCCUGUACACAGACCGCAGGGUUCCCGCACAGCUUCACCGGGCAUUCCGGGGAGCGCUCCGGACCAAGGGAGCAAGCGCAGCAGGGGGCGCAAGAGCCACUACCCGCGACCACACAGCUAGGUACCCGCGGGGCCUCAAGGCAGCCACAGAAAAGGGGAUCCGUCGCACCUCCUUUCCUCCCUCCAGCCUCCCACAGACUGCGGUGACCAAGGCGGUUUCCCCCAGCCGCUAGCUGCCCCAGCCCUCCAGGCCAAUCCUAACCCAGAUCAAAGAUCCUGGGACAGCUGGAACAGGCAUGGCCUAAUGGAACUCCCAAGUGGACAGGGCCAGGCAUGGACGGACAGAGCUUCUGAAACAGUCCUCAGACCCCGUGCAUCUGGAUCUUUCUGUAGGAACCACCCAUCAGCAGUGCCAGACAGAACCAAGCACAUGCACUGAUCCACCGCACGAUGGGAGCUGGUGUGGGUGAGCUUGUUUGCUUUAGCCAUGCCCACAGACAGGAACAGAAGAGCACAGUGGAGGCCACCAGCCCUCUCGCCUGCUAUUUCAAAAGGGGUUGCAGCAGGGCUGGAAAGCGGUUCCCACUGUGGUUGCCCCCUUCCUCUCUGUGGCACACACAGACCUGAAAAUAACCAGAGAGGGACUGUGAGCUGCCAGCCUAAAACAGGAAGGCUGCAGAAAGUCCUAGGCUCAGAUAGGAGAGUUUAAAAGAAUGUUGAAACCAAGAACGGGCAUCACAGAUCCCACCUGUCUCUGCACCAAAGCAGACCUCCCCCUCUCUAAUCUACUGGUGGGGAGCCUGUGUGCUCUGUAGUCAUGCAGAUCCCAGCUUUACCACUUGCUGGCUGUGUGACUUAAGCAAGCUAUUUAACUUCUCUGAACCCCUAUUUCCUGAUUUGUAAGAUAAGCGCAGCAAUAUACAAAGUUUUAGUGUUGUGGUUCACAUGAAAAAAUUUAAUCCUGGCCAGGCCGGACGUGGUGCCUCACACCUGUAAUUCCAGCACUUUGGGAGGCCAAGGUGGGCAGAUCAUGAGGUCAGGAGUUCGAGACCAGCCUGACCAACAUGGUAAAACCACAUCUCUACUAAAAAUACAAAAAUUAGCCGGGCAUGGUGGUGCGUACCGGUAGUCCCAGCUACUCAGGAGGCUGAGGCAGGAGAAUCACUUGAACCCAGGAGGCGGAGGUUGCAGUGAACCGAGAUGGCACCACUGCACUCCAGCCUGGGCAAGAAGAACGAAACUCCCUCUCAAAAAAAAGAAAAGAAAAAGAAAAAAGAAAGAGAAGAAAGCAUACCUGCACAAUUCAGCCUGACCUGCCCUCACCCAGACAACAGAAGGAACAAUGAAGACUUUAGUUGUCUGAGCCAGAACACUUCUCAGAUAACUGUGCUGCUUACAAAUUGCUUUACAUACACAAUCUCCUCUGAAAUUCUCAACCCUGAAUGCUGGGAGACAUUGCCCCCAAUUUUCAGAUGAGUAGACUGAGGCUAACAGAGGUAAAGUGGCUUGUUCAAAACUGCACUACUAGUAACUGGCAGCUCCAGGGUGAGGUCUGGCUCCUGGCCCAGGACUCUCACUGAGCAAGGGCUCGGUCGGCCCACCCAGGACCAAAGACACUGCAGACCAUGGCAGCAGGCACUUGGUGUUCUGUAGUCUGUGAGGGGAGAGCAGAGAGCAGAACCUGGUGUGUGGGACACCCUCUCCUUCACCGGUGUUCCUGCAGGGACCCUCCGUCUCCUGUAAAGGGGGAAGCCCUAGGCUGACUCCCAGCAAGCAAGUCCUCUCUCACCUUUCACCUGAAGCGAUGAAGCAUCUUAAAGUUUGCCUAAAGCAGAAGUCUACAGGAGACCCACAGAAUAAAUAUGUAAGGUUAUUUUGAAACCAAAAGGGACUUGGUCAUCAUUGCUUCUCCUCCCUCACUUUUUAGAUAAGGAGCUAGGCCUCAAGAAGAGAAGUUGCUUGGUAAAGAUGGCACAGGCAGUGGUGACAGAGCUGGUCAAGAUCCCAGAUACCCUGACUCAAAGUGGUCUUUUUAAAUUCCCACCCUGCCCCCAACCUCCAGGUCUGGGCUGAUGUGUUGGGGCCAUUCUCAACUGUGAGAGUUUAAAACUAUGCACUUUAUUCUCUAUUCACCAUGUGAAUCCAUCUUUAGGGACAACGAUUAUUCUGAGAAGUGCAGUGGGGUAGGGCUGAACUGACCUGCAGACCCCUCCCUGGCCUCUGGCCCUGGAGCCAGCCCCUGGUUAAUCAAUAAUUACAGGAAGGUGCUUCUUAUUCUCUGAAACCUUCCCCUCCUGCUUUCUCAUCAGCCUGGGAGGAGGUUACGUGGGCAGACAGAGGUCUAAUAACAGAACUCAGUGUCUGGCCAGUGGCAUCCCUCAGAGUCAGGCCCCAGCCAGGGCCCACUGAGGGCCUCAGCCUGCCUGUGGAGACCCUCGCUUUCACAGUGGAGGAAUGCAGCAUCCCUGGCUCCGGCAGCAUGACAGUCUGGCUCCCCAUUGCCUCACCAGGUGAGUUUACACCCAGAAAAGGGAUUUGUUUAGCACCAUUCUCAGAAAGGGUUCAUAAAAGUUUAUCCCCUUCUUGUAAUAUUUAGAGAAUGUUAUGAUUUUUAACUGCUAAAAAGCAUCACAGUUAUAGCUGGGCAUAGUGGCACAUGCCUGUAGUCUCAGCUGCUUGGGAGAUUGAGGCAGGAGAACUGCAUGAGCCCAGGAGGUCAAGGCUGCAGUGACCUAUGAUUACACCUUUGGCACUCCAGCCUGGGCCACCGAGCAAGACCCCGUCUUUAAAAAUAAAAAUAAAAAUAGGGCCAGGCACAAUGCCUCACACCUGUAAUCCCAACACUUUGGGAGGCCAAGGCGGG
rnacentral:lncRNA from 10 species